AGAGUUUGAUCCUGGCUCAGGAUGAACGCUAGCUACAGGCUUAACACAUGCAAGUCGAGGGGCAGCAUGAAGUUUGCUUGCAAACUUUGAUGGCGACCGGCGCACGGGUGAGUAACGCGUAUCCAACCUUCCCCUUAGUAGGGGAUAGCCCGGUGAAAAUCGGAUUAAUACCCUAUGUUGUUCGACGAGGACAUCUGAGUUGGACCAAAGAUUCAUCGCUAAGGGAUGGGGAUGCGUCUGAUUAGCUUGUUGGCGGGGUAACGGCCCACCAAGGCGACGAUCAGUAGGGGUUCUGAGAGGAAGGUCCCCCCACAUUGGAACUGAGACACGGUCCAAACUCCUACGGGAGGCAGCAGUGAGGAAUAUUGGUCAAUGGGCGCAGGCCUGAACCAGCCAAGUAGCGUGAGGGACGACGGCCCUACGGGUUGUAAACCUCUUUUUCGCGGGGAUAAAGAGCCCUACGUGUGGGGCGUUGCAGGUACCGCGUGAAUAAGGACCGGCUAAUUCCGUGCC
rnacentral:rRNA from 1 species